UACGGCCAUAUUAAGUUUAAACACCGGUUCUCGUACGAUCGCUGAAGUUAAGCAAUGUCGAGUUUGGUCAGUAUCUAGAUGGGUGACCGCUUGGGAACUCCAGGUGCUGUAAA
rnacentral:rRNA from 1 species